GAUGAACGCUGGCGGCGUGCCUAAUACAUGCAAGUCGAACGCUGAAGGCGGAGCUUGCUCUUUCCGGAUGAUUUGCGAACGGUUGAGUACCGCUUAGGUAACCUGCCUGGUAGCGGGGGUUAACUAUUGAAACCGAUAGCUAUUACCGCUUAACACUCGAUAUUGCAUGAUAUUUGCUUGAAAGUGUCAAUUUCUCCACUACCAGCUGGACCUGCGUUGUAUUAGCUAGUUGGUGAGGUAACGGCCCACCAAGGCGACGAUACAUAGCCGACCGGAGAGGGGGAUCGGCCACACUGGGACGGAGACACGGCCCAGAGGACUACGGGAGGCAGCAGUAGGGAACCGUAGGCAAGGGACGGAAGUCUGACCGAGCAACGCCGCGUGAGAGAAGAAGGGUGUCGGAUCGUAAAGCUCGGUUGUAAGAGGAGAACGAGUGUGAGAGUGGAAAGUUCACACUGUGACGGUAUCUUACCAGAAAGGGACGGCUAACUACGUG
rnacentral:rRNA from 1 species